AUUGAACGCUGGCGGCAUGCCUUACACAUGCAAGUCGAACGGCAGCGCGGGGCAACCUGGCGGCGAGUGGCGAACGGGUGAGUAAUAUAUGGGAAUCUGCCUGGUAGUGGGGGACAACGUUUCGAAAGGAACGCUAAUACCGCAUACGCCCUACGGGGGAAAGGGGGGGAUCGCAAGACCUCUCGCUAUCAGAUGAGCCC
rnacentral:rRNA from 1 species